AUGGAGGCCUCCUUCGUCCCUGCAUCCCCACCUCGCCGCCAGCGUCAGAGCCACGGGGUGGUCAUUCGCUCCAGGGCAAUGGAGCAUGCUCACUUCGUCCUCAAGCACCACGCCGUGCUUCUGACGGCCACCGACAGCUUCAACGCCGCCAACCCGAUGUUGGUGGGUCGCACCAUCGAGGCUCUACUACGCAUUGGUCCACACCUGCUGCGUGUCACUCGUCACCACCCUGAAGAUUUCCUAGUCCACUUCGACGUCCCCGCCGACCGCGACGCUCUCAUGUGCCACAACACCAUCAAUGUCGACGGGGUGCCCUUCCGGACCAAGCCCUGGAGGCCGGACGACCAUGCUGUUCGCCAGAAAUGGGUGCUGCAUGUCUGUAUCGUAAUUGAGCGGCUGCCCCUGGACAUGUGGACGCUGGAGGGCGCGGAGGAGGUGCUCGGCCGUUUCUGCAUCAUUAACAAGCUUGACAGCCACACCACCAAGCGCGGAGACACUCGCACCUUCGCUUGCUGGGCGUGG
rnacentral:rRNA from 1 species